rnacentral:rRNA from 1 species
UACGUAGGCAGCGAGCGUUGUUCGGAGUUACUGGGCGUAAAGGGUGUGUAGGCGGCCUUGCAAGUCCGUUGUGAAAACUCGAGGCUCAACCUCGAGACGCCGGUGGAAACUGACAAGCUAGAGUCCGGAAGAGGAGAGUGGAAUUCCUGGUGUAGCGGUGAAAUGCGCAGAUAUCAGGAAGAACACCCGUGGCGAAGGCGGCUCUCUGGGACGGUACUGACGCUGAGACGCGAAAGCGUGGGGAGCGAACAGG